UACGUAGGGGGCAAGCGUUGUCCGGAAUCAUUGGGCGUAAAGAGCGUGUAGGCGGUUCGGUAAGUCCGCUGUGAAAGUCCAGGGCUCAACCCUGGAAAGCCGGUGGAUACUGGCGAACUAGAGGAUGGUAGAGGCGUGUGGAAUUCCGGGUGUAGUGGUGAAAUGCGUAGAGAUCCGGAGGAACACCAGUGGCGAAGGCGACACGCUGGGCCAUACCUGACGCUAAAGCGCGACAGCAUGGGGAGCAAACGAGG
rnacentral:rRNA from 1 species